CAGGGACUUCUCAUUCAACCGAGGACUGAUGGCUGCUUUUCCAGGGGCUGGAAGUACAGCUGCCACUGCUACCCUAGUCCAAGAUGAGAAACACCAGGGUUUUCAGUAGUCUCCAAGUGACAGGUAAUUCUAAGACUGAAAACUACCCAUGGAUUGCCUUGUCUCAGACCAGGAUUCAAUCUGACAGACUUCUGUCCAAAGGUCUGGAUAUUUCAUGGUCAAACUGAUCCUAUAAGUAAAGGACCAAAUUCUCAAAGUUGUUUGGGGCGGAGGAAGACUUGGGGUUUACAGCCUAUACAAAAUCUCCCUCUCAUUCCUCAUCAUGGUGUGGCAGUGACCUAGGCCCUUGAAAGCUAAUUCAUGGAAUUAAAGCUCUGACAGGCUUUACCAAGCUAGGAAGGCUUUGCGAGUACAAGCCAGGCAGCCCUUAUGUGACUAACAUCUAAGCCCCAGAAGGGCUCAUCACGAAGUUGCCCACAGGUUAUAUUUCCAGGACUGAUCAGAAUUGAUAGUUUUGAAAGCAACAUCACAAGAAAUCAGCCCCCAGAAAGUAGCCCUGAGGCCAUCUUUGCCAAUUUGGAAUUUUGCUUUGUAACAGACCAGUGUUCAGAUGUGGGACAAACUGAACUAGAAUCCUGCUUUUGGGAUCUCUCCCUGCAUUCACUUCUGGAGGAAACAAAUGAAACUGCUCCUUUGAAGACUAGCUUAGUAGCCAGAGGAAUGAGAGGAGACUGGCAGGCUCUAGUGGAGUGAAGUUUGGAUCUUCUUUCCUCAAAGUGACAGCCUACCUCAUCACUGCAAGAGGUGAAUUUCUUCUUUAUGGACAAGGAUAAUAUGAAAACGUCUAUGGCGAUUCUUGAGACAUAGGUGAUAUCAAUAUACCAGUCCCAUAAAACACCCAACACAUAAUGGAGAAGAGCUGUUAGCCUUCCCAAGCGGCCACAGCCUUUUAAAACCACAAUGCCACAUACAUUCCAGGAUCGAUUUUUUUUCUUGUUAUCGUUUCCUAAAACACAAUUAUGGGCCAAAAGCUUGAAGAACAUCAUUUUUGAGAAACCUGAUUUCUGUAAGAUUUAAUGGUAGAACACUUCUCUGAACCUAGAAGUAAUAAGAAACAAACUUCUAAGUUACUUCUAUCAUCACUGCUCUCGUCAUGAUUCUGUCCUGCUUAGCAAUCUUCAGAGACUCCCUAUUAUGUAUAAGAUAAAAUGCAAACUCCUCAUAUAGGCAGUAAAGGUCCUCUGCAAUAGGCUCUAGUCCACCCCUUUUGCCUUAUGUCAAAUUAAUUGCUUUCAGGUAUUCUAUCUUCCAGCCAGGGGUAUGCUGGUAAAUGUUUAACAAUAGGCUAAGAGAAAGGCAGCUGGGUGGCUCAAUGGAUUGAGAGCCAGGUCUAGAGAUGGGAGGUCCUGGCAUAAAUCUGACUCUUCCUAACUGGGUGAUGCUGGGCAAAUCACUGAACUUCCCUUGCCUAGCCCUUACCAUUCUUCUGCCUUGGAACCAAUAUUUAGUAUUGAUUCUAAGAUGGAAGAUAAGGGUUUAAAAAGAAAAGGCUGGGGAGGGGGGUAUACACAUGACACACUUUUUAAGUUUAGUUAGAUGGCACAGUGACUAGAGCACUAGAGAGCAGGAGUCAGGAAGACCUGAUGUUCAAAUCUUACCUCAGAUACUUACUAGCUGUGUGAUCUUGAGCAGAUCACCUAACCUGAUUUGCCUCAGUUUCCUUAUUGAGCUAGAGAAGGAAAUGGCAAACCACUCCAGUGUCUUUGCCAAGAAAAUGGGGUCAUGAAGAGUAAGAUGUGACUGAAACAACUGAACAACACAAAUAGUAAUUUUCUCUAUCACUUUAUUAAGUCUAGGCAAUCAACGAAGCAAUAAAUAAAGCCCUAAUUUGUAAUGUUUGUUGAUU
ensembl:lncRNA